AGUGAACGCUGGCGGUAGGCCUAACACGUGCCAGUCGAACGGCAGCACAGUAAGAGCUUGCUCUUACGGGUGGCGAGUGGCGGACGGGUGAGGAAUACAUCGGAAUCUACUUUUUCGUGGGGGAUAACGUAGGGAAACUUACGCUAAUACCGCAUACGACCUACGGGUGAAAGCAGGGGAUCUUCGGACCUUGCGCGAUUGAAUGAGCCGAUGUCGGAUUAGCUAGUUGGCGGGGUAAAGGCCCACCAAGGCGACGAUCCGUAGCUGGUCUGAGAGGAUGAUCAGCCACACUGGAACUGAGACACGGUCCAGACUCCUACGGGAGGCAGCAGUGGGGAAUAUUGGACAAUGGGCGCAAGCCUGAUCCAGCCAUACCGCGUGGGUGAAGAAGGCCUUCGGGUUGUAAAGCCCUUUUGUUGGGAAAGAAAAGCAGCAGGUUAAUACCCCGCUGUUCUGACGGUACCCAAAGAAUAAGCACCGGCUAACUUCGU
rnacentral:rRNA from 1 species